rnacentral:tRNA from 1 species
UUUAUAUAGUUUAAAAAAACAUUACAUUUUCAUUGUAAAAUUAAAUUAUAUUUUGUAA